UGCUCAGUAAAACAAGCAGGAACGCUGGGCACUUAGGAGCAGCAGGUCAGUCCCCCAGACAAACCUGUAAAGCAAAAUUGGGAGACCUAUCCUCCUUUAGUUUGGUGGAGGGGCUUCCUGGUCUUUAAUACAGAGGCUGGACCAUGCUGUGUGUCUAUUCUUGUCAGGAUCACCUCCUCUGACUGUGAUUUUUUUUUUAAAGCAAUCUGGGGGGAGAUCCUGGUGGAACAAGUUGAUGAAAUGUUUGCAGAGUGAUAACAAACCUGCAAUGGAAUAGACCUGCAUGUGUGGAUAUUUUUUGGAGCUCAAAGUGAUCGGCUGAAUUUUCCUGCUUUUGUAUAUUUUGUUUCCCUUUUGAGGUCAAUCUCUGGGAUGUGCCUAUUUUGAGACUAGGGGCUAAGAAUGUCUGUGUGGAUUGUGGGACGAGUCAGCGUCAUCUGCUAAAAUAAUAAAGCUGAGUCCAGGGAACUAGAAAAAAGUGACAAUCCCUGGCAAUUUUUGUUCAGGAGAGUCACUUGCUAAAAGAAUCUGGAGAAGGGGAACUGAUCUUUCCUUUCCAGAUGACUGAAAAUAUCGGGAGAAUUCUCUCACUCCAGCUUUCCUCUGCUGGGAGCAUCCGAGAGAAACAGUUGAGAAACAGUAAUGAUACAGGUCAGGAUUACUCCAGCACCUACUUCUCAGUAAGGAACUCCACAGGAUCUGACUCGGUGCAUUUCAUAAUGUAAAGCAAGUGUGUGUCCGUCUGCGUGUGCCUGCGCGCAUGUGUGUGAUCAUGUAAGAACCUGCAUGGCGAAUCCAGCCCAGAGAGACUUUCUCCCACCGGUUUGAGUGUAUGGUUCACCGAAAGCACAUUGACUCUACCCUGGAUCGCUACCUUUUUUAAUCUCUUGGGUUUGGAGGCUUCUUUCUCCAUUGCAAUUAUGAUCAUUUGCAACAUCAGCGCAAUCAAAGAUUGGAGCACUUUCCUCUCUCAGAUCCUCCCCAGCGUCAACAAGACCCUCAGCUUGGUUCAGCAGGUGGAAGCCAGCACCAGCUCGGUGGUGAGCGUCCUGCAGGACCCAAAGCAGGAGAACUACCUGUCCAACAGCCCGUCCAUGAAUUCCAGCAACUUCACCACCGGCCUGGACCACUUAUUCCAGUAUUCGUACUCGGACAAUGACCAGCUCUACAAGGAGUACAAACCUCCGGCCCGGGACGCUAUCCCUUUGCCCAAGGCGGUGCUCUACCUUCUCAUGGCCGCACUGGUGGUGGUAGCGGUGGCAUAUGCCAUUGUCGGCCACCUCAUCAAGGACCUCGUUCACGAUUUGAUCGACUGGAUAUUAGGCCCCAGCCCGGACGACGACAGUAACAAGAGCGACGUCAACUGCAUCAGCAGCGGCGGGAAUGAAAUGAGCGAGAUCCACGUGCCGCACCCGAGAGAGCACCAGCCCCAGGACGUGGUCAUCUCCAUCAAUGAGACUUGCCAUCUCCCCCAGCAGACGUGAUGAGCUGUCACCGCAAAGAAUGCAAAGCAUGCUGGGAGGCAGGCGGUGGCCAGGGGCCGGGGGUGGAGGGAAAGGGUCUCCUUUUUAAUCUUUUGUUACAAGUCACCUUAAUGCCCCUGCUGUGUGUCUCAUCCUGGGAUCCCUGAACUAACAUUCAGUGAAGGCUAACAAGGAAGGAGCAGCUGGCUGAGAAUGCAUGGCAUUAACUCAUCGCUCCCUAAGGUCUUGUCUAAAGCCAGGGGAAGGCGGGUGGGCAGCAGGGUCUGCUUCAGUGGUUGCUUGGUUCCUGGAGAGAACAAGACCAGGAGCGGGGCCGAGACAUGGAAGGCAGCAUUCUAAUCCCUCCUGCUCAGUCCUGAGUGUCAUUCCAGCUGCCAUGAUACAAAGCCACAGGAAAAGACCGAAAAGAAUUGCAUGCAAGGGACUAGAAAAGAGCCAAGGACCCAGGGAGAAAACAAUCCACACCUACGUGUUGCCAAAUUUCUAAUAAAAUGUAACUUACGCUGCUAGAGUCCGAGGAG
ensembl:lncRNA